AAUCUGAAAGGACCACAGUACUCAUCUGGCAGGUAACCUUUUCUACAAACAGGUCCAAUACCUCUCACCAGCUACCUAUUUGGCCUUCAGCUGGGUCUCUGCCCUCUCCCCUGCAUGGCAGAGACCCUAAGCCAAACAGAAGGCCAGCAGCGCACCACUUCUAGCGAAGAGUAAGCACAAGAAUGAACUGCAAACCAAGUACUCACCGUGGUGAAGUCUUGGUGUCCACACUCCUGCCCCUUGAACUUGCAGUAUAGCAUCAUAUCCUUCAGGUCAUGCCCUACCCGGUGCAGGAACUCCAGCAUGCUGAACUGCUUUGGUUUGUAGUGUUUGAAGUUGGCCUUCUGUCGCAGGGCCUCCAAGACUGUGGGGUCCGCCAGAUGCGGAUCAGGAAUCUGCAGGUUGACAUCCAGCAGGGCCAGUAACUCCCCAGCGUGGUACAGGUCAUUGGUGGUGAGCCUGGAGAACCGAAAGCCAUUGAGGUUGCAGAGGGUCACAGCAGGAAAAACCAGGCUCUGGGCCACCACCUCAUCCACCUUGGUGACAUGCUGAUAUGAGAAGUAGUAGGACACUCUCUCAGAGCUUUCAACCAGCAGCAGGCCCAGGGAGCCCACGAAGGCCACUGCCCAAAGCACACGCCGGAUGGUCAGUGGCCCAUACACGAAGAUGUGGCGGAUGCCAUGGAGAGUGGAUGUGUUGGCGAAGAUCUGGAUGCUGGAAGGUUGCAGGCUGCCCUCGCUGGGGCUCUCCUUCAGGUCCAUCGGGACCCUGUGCAGUUCCGCAACUGGCUUCAGGUUGAUCAAAUCUCAGGGAAGAGUUCCCAGUCUUCUGAAUUCUGCCUUGGCGUUCAAGGCAGAGAUCGCCGGGCAAGCAUCAGGCCAGACACUGGGAGUUUAUCCUGAGAGCCUGGCCGCACGCUGACAGGGGCUGGAGAGGGAUACACAAGAAGAGUAGAGAGAAGCCCUUCUAGAGAUUGAAAAUUCAGUGUGCCCAUAGGAACCCCAGAGGAAGAGCAACAAGUACCACCCACCCCCAUAUGGCUGGCUGUCAGGACUUUUUGUGUUUAACAAAGGAAGCCAGCUGGGUGCCAGCCCAAAGAUGAUCUCAGGGUCUUUUUGACUCUUGCAAGCAGGCUAGGAACUUUAGGAUAAGUAGAGGACCAAAGGAUAAAGACCC